rnacentral:misc_RNA from 1 species
ACAUAUUGGGGACUAUCUCAUAUGGAUAGUCCCAUGUUAUUUGAUGGUUUAUUAAAUUAGUGGUAUAUGUCCGUAAGUCAAAGGAAAUUUAGUGGUGUUUGUCCGUGGCGCAUAUACUACGUCAUCGUACUACGUCACAUUCUUUUCAUCCUUGAGCUGCAUUGAGGAAGGUGCGUAGAAAUUCAGACAAUUUAAAAUUAAACUUUUUCCUUGUGAUAAUGCAUAUUCUUAAACUAUACUUCAAAAUAAAAUUCAUGAAUACUUUGCCUCCUACAGUUCAGCUAUUUCAUGGAUCGUUGGCACUUGAGAUUAAAGAUAUUUCAUGAUUUAAAAAGCGAAUGAGUCGGAGCUGGGGUACAUCUACAUGGCGAAUGGGCCCACGUGAAUUUUUAUCGCAAUGAUAUUCAUUGGAUAGUUUUUUCUUAUUAGUAGAUCUACUAUUUAAAUUUUUAAUUUAAAAGUAAAUAAAUAAUUAUUAGUAGAUCUACUAUUUAAAAUUUUAAAUUAAAAAAUCAAUCAAUAUCUAAUUUCUAACGGAAUCGACAGUGCUUUUAGUCUCCGGCACUGUCACAGGUUUAUGAAAUGAUGAUGAGUUGUUGUUGUUGUUGAUGAUGCUGAUGGUGAUGGUGAUGUGAAGGAGGACGUUUGUGUAAUAAUAUUAUUUGACGUUGUUCUGCAUGUGGAUUAUGUCAACGAGGAUGAUGAUUAUGAUAAUGAUGAGGAUGAUGAUGGUCGUUAUCACAUAUUUCAGAGUUGAUGAUGAUGAUAAUGGUUAAUUCUAAUCAAAGUAAUAUGAAUUGUUAUUAAUUGUGAUGAUGAUUUGAAGGAAGAUGCUGUUAUAAUCGUAAUGAUAUGUUAUUAUUGCUGCUGCUGAACUUGAUGAUGAUGAUGAUGAUAAUGUUGAUCGAUAUUACAUAGAUCUAUUAGAAUCAAUUUGUUUAAGUGUUGAUGUUGAUGAUGAUAAGGGUUAAAGUCAUAGAAAUCUUAAACCUAUUAGUGAAUAGUAGCCAGCUCAUCGGAAGUCAAGGUGGUAAUGGGUUUCAGAUUCUACUAAAUACGGUAUACAAACGCCAAUGGAAGUAAGAGGCACCCAAUAUGAUCGUGCUGCUGAUGACUGGCUUAUGUUGUUUUGUUUUGUUUUAAAGAUGAUGUUGAUGAUAAUGUUGUUUUUGAGGAUGAUGAUGAGAGGCUUAUUUGUUUAAAUAAUUUAACUUUUGCAAUACUGACGACUGGCUUGUGGAAUUUUACGAAAUGAUGUUGAACGAUGAUGAUGAUGAUGAUGAUGAUGAUGAUGAUGAUGAUCGAUAGUAGCCAAGGUCAGGUUUUACCUUUUAUUCAUUCUGAACUGGGAAUACCUGUUUGAGAAUGAUGAUGAUGAUGGUCUGAUGAUUUGUUUAUGUUGAUGGACUUACUUGUAACAAUUGCUCGUUUAUUGCAAUAAAUCUACCUCAGAUUAUAUUCAUUAAAAAUCAUGAUAUUUGUAGAAACUUAAUAAUUUUUUUUAAAUCUUUUUACGUCAUUUUGGCGUUAGAUAAAAUGAAACGUCGUGAAAGACUGGAGAAGCGGGCCGGAGAGUUGGGUUUAAUGAACAAAAGAAAGAGGCGGGACGAGCCUCCACUGGUGAUUCCCCAUCAAGAUAACGAGGUGGACGAAAGACAGAGGCAGGACGAGGCUCCUCCAUUGGUGAUUCCCCAACAAGAUAACGAAGUGCAGCAACUCGCGCAAAAUGAUGUGGGUGGUGACUGUGUGCAAAAAGGAACUGACGACUGUAGCCCAGUUAAGACAAUGAAAUAGAAGAACUCAACACUUGCACCAGUGGAAGUACUUCUUAUUGGAUAGAGAACUUUUCAAGGUCAGACAUCAGCUUUUGAAGUUGCUUUCUUGGCACAUCAUGCUGUCCAGUGGAGUUCAUAACAUAUGCCAGGCCUUUAUACAUGGUCAAAGAAGAUGAAUUUGUUAUUCCAUUUGUGAAAUUUGAUUUAGCGAGGACUUUCAUAUAUGAUGAUUAUAUUCAGCAGAUUAUCUUCAAGUGUGCACUUUAUAGAAUCACAGUUUCUAGGAGGUUUUCAGUUUAAAGUUAGAUUAAUUGAAAAAUAAGGGGAGCUAUCAUGCUCACCAUGGUAUCGACAUUGACAUAACACCAGGUUUAAGUUUUUCUUACCAGUCCAUAUUUUAAAGGACCUUUUGACAGUAUUGAAACUUACAACAGUAAUGUAUCAUCAUUAUACCAAGUUUUAGGCAAGAGUACAUAACUCCAUCAAGGAUUUGACUGAACUAUGGCCCUUUGAAACUUUUGUCACUUGUUUAUGAUAAUAGUCUCUCUAUAUAGGCAAGAGUUCACAACACUAUAGAUUAUUUUGGAUGAAUUAUGUCCCUUUUGGACUUUGAAAUGGGUUCAGUUGUGCCCGUUUUGCUUAAAAAGUACUUUGUAUAGUGUUUUGAUACACUUUAUCUUUAUCUCUCAUAUUACUUAAUAUUUUUAAAACAGACUUAGUUAUUAUGCAAUAUCUUCAUCCGCCGUUGGAGUCAUUAAACACAACAGUGACAGCUCCA